UAGGGAAUAUUGCAAAAUGGGCGAAAGCCCGAUGCAGCAACGCCGCGUGGGCGAUGAAGGCCUUCGGGUCGUAAAGCCCUUUUUGAGGGGAUGAGGAAGGACAGUACCCUCAGAAUAAGCCUCGGCUAACUACGUGCCAGCAGCCGCGGUAAAACGUAGGAGGCGAGCGUUAUCCGGAUUUACUGGGCGUAAAGCGCGUGCAGGCGGAUUGGAGAGUUGGAUGUGAAAGCUCCCGGCUUAACUGGGAGAGGUCGUUCAAUACUUCCAGUCUUGAGUGCAGUAGAGNGAAGUGGAAUUCCGGGUGUGGUGGUGAAAUGCGUAGAUAUCCGGAGGAACACCAGUGGCGAAAGCGGCUUCCUGGACUGUAACUGACGCUCAGACGCGAAAGCUAGGGUAGCAAACG
rnacentral:rRNA from 1 species